GGAAGGGGUGUAUUUAUUAGAUAAAAAACCAACGCCCUUCGGGGCUUCUUGGUGAUUCAUGAUAACUUCACGGAUCGCAUGGCCUUGCGCCGGCGACGGUUCAUUCAAAUUUCUGCCCUAUCAACUUUCGAUGGUAAGGUAUUGGCUUACCAUGGUUUCAACGGGUAACGGGGAAUUAGGGUUCGAUUCCGGAGAGGGAGCCUGAGAAACGGCUACCACAUCCAAGGAAGGCAGCAGGCGCGCAAAUUACCCAAUCCCGACACGGGGAGGUAGUGACAAUAAAUACUGAUACAGGGCUCCUUUGGGUCUUGGAAUUGGAAUGAGUACAAUUUAAAUCCCUUAACGAGGAACAAUUGGAGGGCAAGUCUGGUGCCAGCAGCCGCGGUAAUUCCAGCUCCAAUAGCGUAUAUUAAAGUUGUUGCAGUUAAAAAGCUCGUAGUUGAACCUUGGGCCUGGCUGGCCGGUCCGCCUCACCGCGUGUACUGGUCCGGCCGGGCCUUUCCUUCUGGGGAACCUCAUGCCCUUCACUGGGCGUGUUGGGGAACCAGGACUUUUAC
rnacentral:rRNA from 1 species